GCCUGGGUGGCUCAGUCGGUUGAGUGUCUGACUUUGGCUCAGGUCAUGAUCUCAUGCGUGGGUUCGAGCCCCGCAUCUGGCU
rfam:Felis catus isolate Cinnamon breed Abyssinian chromosome A1, whole genome shotgun sequence.